CAAUUUUUUUAGGAGGCUCUAGCUGCCUUCAACUUGUAAGCUUAGUUCAUUUCACUUAUUGAAUGAAACAGGUAAUUUACUAUCUUUCUCUCAAAAUAAAUAAAUAAAUAAAUAAAAGUUGAAGAUUCGAACUUUAUUUCAUCACAUCAAACUCAAAUUAUAAGAUGUGUGACGUUCUAAUUCUCAAAUUUUAAUUAAUUAUAAUUUUUUAUUUGAAUUAUGCGAUAUGUCGUAUUUUGGUUCUUGAUUUUUUUUCGAAUCGUAGUACGUAAUAUUCUAUUUGAUGAU
rnacentral:lncRNA from 1 species